rnacentral:rRNA from 1 species
GGCCCUACGGGAGGCAGCAGUGGGGAAUUUUGGACAAUGGGGGCAACCCUGAUCCAGCCAUGCCGCGUGAGUGAAGAAGGCCUUCGGGUUGUAAAGCUCUUUCGGCCGGGAAGAAAUCGUGUGGGCUAAUACCCUGCAUGGAUGACGGUACCGGAAUAAGAAGCACCGGCUAACUACGUGCCAGCAGCCGCGGUAAUACGUAGGGUGCGAGCGUUAAUCGGAAUUACUGGGCGUAAAGCGUGCGCAGGCGGUUUUGUAAGACAGGCGUGAAAUCCCCGGGCUCAACCUGGGAACUGCGCUUGUGACUGCAAGGCUAGAGUAUGGCAGAGGGGGGUGGAAUUCCACGUGUAGCAGUGAAAUGCGUAGAGAUGUGGAGGAACACCGAUGGCGAAGGCAGCCCCCUGGGUCGAUACUGACGCUCAUGCACGAAAGCGUGGGUAGCAAACAGGAUUAGAUACCCCUGUAGUCA